AUUGAACGCUGGCGGCAGGCCUAACACAUGCAAGUCGAACGGAACCUUCGGGUUUAGUGGCGAACGGGUGAGUAAUGCCUAGGAAUCUGCCUAUUAGUGGGGGAUAACGAAUCGAAAGGUUCGCUAAUACCGCAUACGUCCUACGGGAGAAAGAGGGGGAUCUUCGGACCUCUUGCUAAUAGAUGAGCCUAGGUCGGAUUAGCUAGUUGGUGAGGUAAAGGCUCACCAAGGCGACGAUCCGUAGCUGGUCUGAGAGGAUGAUCAGCCACACUGGAACUGAGACACGGUCCAGACUCCUACGGGAGGCAGCAGUAGGGAAUAUUGGACAAUGGGCGCAAGCCUGAUCCAGCCAUGCCGCGUGAGUGAAGAAGGCCCUCGGGUUGUAAAGCUCUUUUGUCCGGAAAGAAAAGCACUGGGUUAAUACCCCGGUGUCCUGACGGUACCGGAAGAAUAAGCACCGGCUAACUUCGUGCCAGCAGCCGCGGUAAGUCGUGUGACA
rnacentral:rRNA from 1 species